AUACAUGCAAGUCGAGCGGACAGAUGGGAGCUUGCUCCCUGAAGUCAGCGGCGGACGGGUGAGUAACACGUGGGCAACCUGCCUGUAAGACUGGGAUAACUCCGGGAAACCGGGGCUAAUACCGGAUGAUUCUUUCCCUCACAUGAGGGAAAGCUGAAAGAUGGUUUCGGCUAUCACUUACAGAUGGGCCCGCGGCGCAUUAGCUAGUUGGUGAGGUAACGGCUCACCAAGGCGACGAUGCGUAGCCGACCUGAGAGGGUGAUCGGCCACACUGGGACUGAGACACGGCCCAGACUCCUACGGGAGGCAGCAGUAGGGAAUCUUCCGCAAUGGACGAAAGUCUGACGGAGCAACGCCGCGUGAGUGAUGAAGGUUUUCGGAUCGUAAAACUCUGUUGUUAGGGAAGAACAAGUACCGGAGUAACUGCCGGUACCUUGACGGUACCUAACCAGAAAGCCACGGCUAACUACGUGCCAGCAGCCGCGGUAAUACGUAGGUGGCAAGCGUUGUCCGGAAUUAUUGGGCGUAAAGCGCGCGCAGGCGGUUCCUUAAGUCUGAUGUGAAAGCCCCCGGCUCAACCGGGGAGGGUCAUUGGAAACUGGGGAACUUGAGUGCAGAAGAGAAGAGUGGAAUUCCACGUGUAGCGGUGAAAUGCGUAGAGAUGUGGAGGAACACCAGUGGCGAAGGCGACUCUUUGGUCUGUAACUGACGCUGAGGCGCGAAAGCGUGGGGAGCAAACAGGAUUAGAUACCCUGGUAGUCCACGCCGUAAACGAUGAGUGCUAAGUGUUAGAGGGUUUCCGCCCUUUAGUGCUGCAGCAAACGCAUUAAGCA
rnacentral:rRNA from 2 species